CUUUUGCCAAUGGCAACCAGCAGAGCUUCCCCUGAAGAUUGGAGGGGAUGAGUCAGGGGCAAGGAAGGAUUAACAGAUUCUGCCUCAAGUCCUGGUGAACCAACUCCUCUCCCCAAGACAGACACAUACUAGUGAAAUAAAUUGGAUUUAAAUCAUCACCUGAGGCAAUCCUGAAAGAGAAAAGCAGUCCUAGAAAAGAGUGGAGGAAAAGAGGACAGCCCCAUUCUCUUUGUGACCACGAAGACUGCCGCCAUGUGGUUGGGAGCCACGUAACUUCUUUUAGUGCCAGCUGAGAUUCUUCUGCCCUGGAACUAGUUCCUCCGAGUUAUUGCCAGGCCUGGAGAUUGAAUUCCUGCAGCUGGAAGGUGGGGAAAGCAAAAUGUUGUGAGCACCUACCAUAUGCCAGGCACUGUUCAGUGAACUGGUUGUACAGGAGUGAAUGAGAUCAUCUUGAUUUUGAGAAGUUUAUAAUCUACUCAAGGGAAACACGUGUAAUCAACUAUGUUUCAGACAUAACCCCUCAAAACCAAAGCAGAACCUCUUCAAGGAGCUGAGAGAUGCAAGCCUGGAGGAGAAAAGCGGGGCAGCAUCAAACCCCUCCCACUGGGGCAACCUGCUGAGCAUCUCCCUGGCCUUGGCCCCUGGCCAUACCACACAAGUGUCCAAUGAGUCACUGAUCCUGAAGAACAAGAGAAGACUGACCACAGACCCCAAAAGGAAGCAGGAGUACAACCUUCGAAGUUGGUGGGCAACAAGAGGUCAGAGGUUGACAAGCAUCCACACAGCUCUAAGACUAGCAUCAUGUGGCUACCCAGGACCUGGGAGAGUGCUGCAGAGCAGGAGCAGGAAAGGGACCGGCUGUUCCCAUAGAACUUCAUGUCACAGGUCUGGGAGCCAGGGGGCCUUGGUUCUAGUCCCAACUCUCCCUCUAAGUUGUCUUAUGGCCACAGGUGAGUGAAAUAGCUUCUCUGGCCUCAGCUUCCUCACGAUUAAAAUGACACAGUUGUGCAA
rnacentral:lncRNA from 10 species